AGGGAUUAAGAUGUGCAGACAACGUGGCUGCUCAGAGUAACUGUCCCAGGGCGGUUGACAACCAGGCAGCGCAGAGACAUUGUCUCAGGAUAGCAUGUUUGAGUAAGUUUUUUCAUAGUUUUCUCAAACACUUGUCUGCCAUUAUUUUAGAAGUAAGAGUGUUGAUUUUGUUACCUCCUGUUCUUAUGAAAAAAUAGUAAAAUCCUGAGAAUUAUUCCUGGUCUUAAUACAUCAGCUCGUUUAUUGGUUAUGGGUGUUGGAGGAGAUAGAUCAGGCAGAACUACAACCCGAGGUUGUGCAGGUUUGGGGAUACCUCUUGCCAAGGUUAUAUCAUUUAAAGUUUGGCGAAAGACAAAAAUAUAUAAUAGGCAAAUAAAGCUUAGUUCAUCACUAAAAUAAUUAUGAAUGUCAAUGCAGUAAAGCUAUGAUGUAUGCUGUCAAUAACAUUUUAUAACUCUUUGGUAACAUCACUGAAACUAUUGAUUUGUCUUCUCUAAUUUAUUACAGUUAGCUUUGUUUCAGGUUGGGUGUUAAUAGAAAACAUUCAUUAUUUGCAUCAGCUAUAAGUUUACAUUAUGCAAAUGACAGUAACAAAAAUAGUAUGACACAAAUUCAGGUGAUGACCAACUAAGGAGAGGUUGUUGAUGAGAUCAAUGACACCAGAGGGGUGGACAGGCAGCUGCAAAGCAUCCGAGGAGCAGCCGGUGAACAAGAGGAGCAAAGACAACAUCUCUUGGGUCACUAUAAACAUCUGCUGCUAGCAGAGGUUCAGCCGGUGAACAGGAGGAGCUUCAGCUCCGUCAUCGUAAACUUCAAAUGUUGGCCGAGCUUCAACCUCUAGCCCGUCAAGUGUACAAUUGGUUCAAUGCUAGAUUGGUUUUACAAUUUUCUGUUGUUAUUCGUACAAUAGUGUUUAAUCUGGUUCGGAAUAAUCCGCCACCCAAGGGGAUCAAGGUCUCUAAAAUAUUGUUGUUUGUUCAAAUAUUGUUUGUUUUGUUAUUGCAAAUUCCUAACUUAUAUGUGCAUGUUCAUCAGCAAUUAGAGAAAAAAGGGGUGGAAGGAUC
rnacentral:lncRNA from 1 species